GCUCGGGCGCGGGAUGGGCGGGGGCCUAACACACCCGCUCCCUGCUGCGCCCACACCCUGGCACCUCCCCACAGCCCCGCAUCGGACCCAAGGACAGUCCCAGGAGACGUGGGGGCGCUCACCCCUUUCGUGGACGGGAAACUGAGGCAGGCGGGUGAAGGUCGGCUCACAUGCGGAGCUCAGAAAAAGAAAGAGAAGCGAAACUAAAGGCAGGUAGCCCAACGCCUAGAGACCAGACCCGAAACCAAGGAACCAGACCCGAAACCAGGCCUGGGCCUACCUGACCUAAGCCUGGUAGUUAAAGAUGGACCCCUGACCUAACCAGUUAUGUUAUCUAUAGAUUCCAGACAUUGCAUGAAAGAGCAUUGUAAAAAUCCCUGUCCUGUUCUGUUUCGUUCUGAUUACCGGUGCAUGCAGCCCCCAGUCACGUACCUGCUACUUGCUCAAUAGAUCACGACCCUCUCAUGCAGACCCCCUUAGAGUUGUGAGCCCUUAAAAGGGACAGGAAUUGCUCACUCGGAGAGCUCCGCUCUUGAGACAGGAGUCUUACCCAUGCUCCCGGCUGAAUAAAC
rnacentral:lncRNA from 10 species